GACGAACGCUGGCGGCAUGCCUAACACAUGCAAGUCGAGCGAUUCUCUUCGGAGAAGAGCGGCGGACGGGUGAGUAACGCGUGGGUAACCUGCCCUGUACACACGGAUAACAUACCGAAAGGUAUGCUAAUACGGGAUAAUAUGCUUUAGUCGCAUGGCUGAAGUAUCAAAGCUCCGGCGGUACAGGAUGGACCCGCGUCUGAUUAGCUAGUUGGUAAGGUAAUGGCGUACCAAGGCGACGAUCAGUAGCCGACCUGAGAGGGUGAUCGGCCACAUUGGAACUGAGACACGGUCCAAACUCCUACGGGAGGCAGCAGUGGGGAAUAUUGCACAAUGGGCGAAAGCCUGAUGCAGCAACGCCGCGUGAGCGAUGAAGGCCUUCGGGUCGUAAAGCUCUGUCCUCAAGGAAGAUAAUGACGGUACUUGAGGAGGAAGCCCCGGCUAACUACGUGCCAGCCGCCGCAGUAA
rnacentral:rRNA from 1 species